GCUAGGUACGACAGAAAAGCUAUCUCGGGGAUAAUUGAGUCGUAGCGCCUAAGAGCUCAAAUCGACGGCGCUGCUUGCUACUUCGAUGUCGGCUCAUCGCAUCCUGGCUGUGCAGAAGCAGCCAAGGGUACGGGUGUUCACCGGUUAAAGCGGUUCGUGAGCUGGGUUCAGAACGUCGCGAGACAGUUUGUGUGAUAUCUACUAGGAAUGCAAGACAAUCUGCGAGGAAGGACCAUUUAGUACGAGAGGACCAAUGGUUCGGCGCCUCUGGUGUACCUGUUGUCUGACAAGGCAGGCAGGGCAGCUACGCGCUAAGAGAUAAGUCCUGAACGCAUCUAAGGAUGAAACUCGCCUCUAAAAGAGAUUGAGAGCGCUUCCAGAACAGAAGGUUGAUAGGACUGGGGUGUACGCACUGAGGUAACGAAGUGUUCAGCCUGCAGUUACUAAUUGCUCGUUUCUCCUUGUAU
rnacentral:rRNA from 1 species